rnacentral:rRNA from 1 species
AUUGAACGCUGGCGGCAGGCCUAACACAUGCAAGUCGAACGAGUGGCGUACGGGUGAGUUAUGUCUGGGAAUCUGACUGAUGGAGGGGGAUAACUACCGGACACGGUUGCUAAUACCGCAUACAUUCGGAUGUGCCCAGAUGGGAUUAGCUUGUUGGUGGGGUAACGGCUCACCAAGGCGACGAUCCCUAGCUGGUCUGAGAGGAUGACCAGCCACACUGGAACUGAGACACGGUCCAGACUCCUACGGGAGGCAGCAGUGGGGAAUAUUGCACAAUGGGCGCAAGCCUGAUGCAGCCAUGCCGCGUGUAUGAAGAAGGCCUUCGGGUUGUAAAGUACUUUCAGCGGGGAGGCGUUACCAGCAGAAGAAGCACCGGCUAACUCCGUGCCAGCAGCCGCGGUAAUAC